GGCGAACGCUGGCGGCGUGCUUAACACAUGCAAGUCGAACGGAAAGGCCUCUUUCGGGGGGUACUCGAGUGGCGAACGGGUGAGUAACGCGUGAGUAACCUGCCCUUGACUUUGGGAUAACUUCAGGAAACUGGGGCUAAUACCGGAUAGGAGCUCCUGCUGCAUGGUGGGGGUUGGAAAGUUUCGGCGGUUGGGGAUGGACUCGCGGCUUAUCAGCUUGUUGGUGGGGUAGUGGCUUACCAAGGCUUUGACGGGUAGCCGGCCUGAGAGGGUGACCGGCCACAUUGGGACUGAGAUACGGCCCAGACUCCUACGGGAGGCAGCAGUGGGGAAUAUUGCACAAUGGGUGGAAGCCUGAUGCAGCAACGCCGUGUGCGGGAUGACGGCCUUCGGGUUGGAAACCGCUUUCGCUCAUGACGAAGCUUUGUGUGACGGUAGUGGGUAAAGAAGCACCGGCUAACUACGUG
rnacentral:rRNA from 1 species